AUUGAACGCUGGCGGCAGGCUUAACACAUGCAAGUCGAGCGGGGGAAGGUAGCUUGCUACCGGACCUAGCGGCGGACGGGUGAGUAAUGCUUAGGAAUCUGCCUAUUAGUGGGGGACGACAUCUCGAAAGGGAUGCUAAUACCGCAUACGUCCUACGGGAGAAAGCAGGGGAUCUUCGGACCUUGCGCUAAUAGAUGAGCCUAAGUCAGAUUAGCUAGUUGGUGGGGUAAAGGCCUACCAAGGCGACGAUCUGUAGCGGGUCUGAGAGGAUGAUCCGCCACACUGGGACUGAGACACGGCCCAGACUCCUACGGGAGGCAGCAGUGGGGAAUAUUGGACAAUGGGGGGAACCCUGAUCCAGCCAUGCCGCGUGUGUGAAGAAGGCCUUAUGGUUGUAAAGCACUUUAAGCGAGGAGGAGGCUACUUUAGUUAAUACCUAGAGAUAGUGGACGUUACUCGCAGAAUAAGCACCGGCUAACUCUGUGCCAGCAGCCGCAGUAA
rnacentral:rRNA from 1 species